CUGUGCUGCGGCACCAGAGGGGCCUCUUGCCAGGGAGCCGGGAGUGCUGUGUGCUCUGCCUCACCAACUGCCUCAUCCACAGAGAACAGCUGGGCUUCUCUGGGCCUUUUGCAUGGAUUUCUUUGCCUUGAGCAAAAUAUUUGGCUGCUGAGUUAUGAACUAACUCCUUAGACCUGUUUGAGGCACUACAGUGAAGAGCUGCAGGUAAAGGCCUGCAGUCUAAGGAGCAAAUUAUGUUUGUUUUCCAAGUGCCAUGAAGUGCUGCCCCAGAAGUACCACUGCAAGGCAAAGUAUGUGGGGCUGGUGUGCCCUUUCUCUGCUAUAUGUGUGAUUGGACUUGGAAAUGGCUUUUAAUUGCAAUGUUUCAUAUCAAGCUUGUGGGGAGAGUCUUGCUGAGGCUGACACAACUCCCAGUUUGACUGAGUUAACUGGCUAAUUGGAGAGACAUGGGAAGAUGUACAUCGAAAGAGAGUAAGAGGCUUCUGAAACAGGAGGUGGAGAAAGCGAACUCCAUUCAAAAUCCAUUACCAGGAGCUUCAGCCAGCCUCAAGCAGUCAUCUGUAAUGCAGCUAAACCAAGCCUGACCUUGGAAGAUCAAAAAAGAAGAGGCUGCAUGUCAAGAGAAGAGAGAAGAGGUGGCGUGUGUAACGGCGAGUUCCUGUCCUUCACCUCUUGGGGAGUUUACUUACUGGAUGCACUUCCUGGCCUUGUGUUUGACGCAGCAAAAGAAGAUGUGGCACUGCGGACGAGCAUACUGAGGAAGCUGCUUCUGCAGGUGGAUGUAGCUGACUCAAGGGGAAAGCUGAGCAACCUUGGAUACUGAGCUCUAAUUGGUGAGUCUAGAGGUUACUACUGUUUACAAAGCUAAUGUUUAUAACUUGUUUGUUCUUGUAUUUGUAAAAUUGCAUUUGUGUAUUUUGUAAUACUGUAUUUGU